CUUUUUUUUUUUUCUUUUUUUUUUUUUUUUAAUGCUUUUCACUCCCUCAGCUCAGUCCUGCCCUGUACAGAAUUCCGUUUUUUCACCCCAUUUUCCCAUAACUCUUCAACUCCAUCGCUCUCAUUCCAAAGUUUUGCCUCUUCUCCAACGGUUUCACCACUUCUAGGACUUUUCUUUUUUUUUUUUCCUUUUAAUCCAUUUUUGGGAGCCCAAUCAGCUGCCUCCUUAAUUUAUUACCACGGAUCCGGCAUCUCCCUCUCUCUGUAUUUAUUGGGAAGUGAGGAACAGCCGCAGAGCCCUGGGGGACCCCCCACGCCGCUGUCCAUCCGUCCAUCCGGCCGGCCCCCGGCCCCAUCCCGCUGCUCCCGCUGCCGUCGCUCUUUUUAAAGGGAUUUUUAAAGAGAAUUUCUUCCGUUUAUCCCGUUUUUAAGCCUUCUCCGUCGCAAAGGACCCGGAUCCCUCACUCACUCACUCGGGAGCAAUAGUCCUUCCUCGAUGGCCGAUGUGUCCGUACUGUAUUUUGUACCCUCAGGCAGCUCUUUCCGGUGAAUUCCUGCUGUAUCCACCCAUCCUCCUGGUCCUGUGUUCUUUGCCACGGAGAAAAACCAUAAACCACGACGGCGACGACGGAUUUGGGGGGAAGAACGCUCCCAGCUCCGCGGGACUCACUGGCGUCCAGCCGCGGGACCUCUCCUUUUAUUUUUGAAGAGGAUGAGAUAUAUAUAGAUAUAUAUAUAUAUAUAUAAAAAUAUAUAUAUAUUCCUUUGGGUUUCUUUCUUUUGGCUGAAUUGUGGUGAUUUAGCCUUAUUUCUACUCUGGGAGAGCAGCAGAAUUGCUGCUGGCCCGGCCCAGCUCUGGGGAGCGGGCUAGAAAUACAUGGAAAAGAAAAAAAAAAAACAGGCAAAACCACCAAAAUCCAGUAAUAAACCCAAAAAAGCAGCUCCCGGUGUUGGCUCAGGGAGCCUUUCCUGGCCAGAGAAGCGCUGGAUCCAUGGACACAACCUCCCACAGCUCCCUUUGGGUGGGAAGAGCAGAGCACGUUGGGGAAUACAGCGGAAAAAACAGCCAAAAGGAGAUAAAAUAGGGAAAAACGGGAUUUGAGGUGCCAGCUGGAGCAAGGGGAGCAGCUGUGGGGGCUGCCAUGGGAGAGGGGAUCUUGGGGGGCACUUUUGGGAUUUUUGUCUCGGAGCCCCCCAGGAGGCAUUGGGUAUUUCCCAGGAAAGCGGGACAACGCCGGCUUCUCCCCUGAACCCCCUUCCUAUCUCUGUGUAUAGACAUGGCUGUGUGUACAUAGCUCAGAUUCAGUUGGGUUUUGGGUUGAAUUCUGUAGAAAAUGGGCAAAUUGCUUUUUUUUUUUGCCUUUUUUUUUUUUUUUUUUUUAGUUUUUCUUUUUUAAACCACAAAUAGGGGGAAGAAUAUCCCAAAUUCCUGGUACUUCUAGCUUUGCUGCCCUAGAGGGGCUGACGGAGAGCGCGAUGAUGGCUGUACAGACAGAAUUUGGAAGUCUUGUACAAUGCCCCAAAACCCACUGGAAAAUAGCCCAAAUGGCUGGGUCUGGAGCGGGUGGUGCUUCCAGGGCAAGUUCAAACAGCUUCAGGUCUUUUUGCCCUAAAAAAUACAGAAGAAAAUUCGGAUUCUCCUGCCUCGUUUCCAGGCAAUUUGGGGGCAGUGGGGGGGAUGCUUGGGGAGGCCAUGCCAGUGGCGGCUCCUCAUGUUGGUGACUAAACCAACCCAACCCCUCACUGGCCUCGCAUAAAAAAAGCAAAAAGUGGAAAAAAAUCACAAAAAAACUGGAAGAGCUUUUAAAAGAAGCAGCUGAGGGAGCACUGGGGGUAAGCAGGGUGGUGCAUCAUGGAGCUCAGCAGGUAUUGCCAGUGGGAAAUCCCAGCUGGCUCCGUGGAUGCUCCCAGAUGUUCCUGCAGGGCGAGGCCAUUGCCUCCUCACCCUCCUCAUCCUCGUGGAGCCGGUAGAGCCAGCGGCGCCGGGGCAGUUGGGCGUUGGCGGGAGAAGGCAGAUGGGGCGGGACGGCCGGGGAGGAGCGCGGCACGGCACGGCACGGCACGGCACGGCCUGGAGUCCCCGGGGGCUGAGAGUGGCUCCAGCACACAGGCGCUGGGACAGAUCGGUGUGGAGAGCGCUGGGUCCUUCUCCAAGAGCCAGGCGCUCCCAGAGUUGGAUUCGCUGACGGCUGGGUCCUCAAAGAAUUGUAUCUUCCAAAAGCUGGAUCCUCUGAGCGCCCGAUCCUCCUUCGAGAGCUGGAUCCUUCAAGAACUGGAUCCUCCGAGAGCUGGAUCCUCUGAGCACCAGAUCCUUCUCUGAGUGCUGGAUCCUCCUUCAGGAGCCACAUCCUCCUCCAGGUUGGAUCUUCCGAGAGUUGGGUCCUUCAAACGCUAGAGCCCCCUCUUUGAGCUGGGUUCUUCUCCAAGCAGCAGGUCCUCCUCGGAGAGUUGGAUCCUCUGAGAACUGGAUCCCAUGAAUGUUGGGUCCUCCUCCGAGCACCGGAUCCUCCUCGGAGCAGCGGAUCCCGGGAGCGCCACUUCCCUCCCCGAGCGCUCGCCAUGACGUCCCUUUGCCGAAAAGAGAAAAAAAAAAAGAAAGU
ensembl:lncRNA